GACGAACGUUGGCGGCGUGCUUAACACAUGCAAGUCGAACGGAAAGGCCCUGCUUUUGUGGGGUGCUCGAGUGGCGAACGGGUGAGUAACACGUGAGUAACCUGCCCUUGACUUUGGGAUAACUUCAGGAAACUGGGGCUAAUACCGGAUAGGAGCUCCUGCUGCAUGGUGGGGGUUGGAAAGUUUCGGCGGUUGGGGAUGGACUCGCGGCUUAUCAGCUUGUUGGUGGGGUAGUGGCUUACCAAGGCUUUGACGGGUAGCCGGCCUGAGAGGGUGACCGGCCACAUUGGGACUGCGAUACGGCCCAGACUCCUACGGGAGGCAGCAGUGGGGAAUAUUGCACAAUGGGCGGAAGCCUAAUGCAGCAACGCCGCGUGCGGGAUGACGGCCUUCGGGUUGUAAACCGCUUUCGCCUGUGACGAAGCGUGAGUGACGGUAAUGGGUAAAGAAGCACCGGCUAACUACGUG
rnacentral:rRNA from 1 species